rnacentral:rRNA from 1 species
GACGAACGCUGGCGGCGUGCUUAACACAUGCAAGUCGAACGGAAAGGCCCUGCUUUUGUGGGGUGCUCGAGUGGCGAACGGGUGAGUAACACGUGAGUAACCUGCCCUUGACUUUGGGAUAACUUCAGGAAACUGGGGCUAAUACCGGAUAGGAGCUCCUGCUGCAUGGUGGGGGUUGGAAAGUUUCGGCGGGUGGGGAUGGACUCGCGGCUUAUCAGCUUGUUGGUGGGGGAGUGGCUUACCAAGGCUUUGACGGGUAGCCGGCCUGAGAGGGUGACCGGCCACAUUGGGACUGAGAUACGGCCCAGACUCCUACGGGAGGCAGCAGUGGGGAAUAUUGCACAAUGGGCGGAGGCCUGAUGCAGCAACGCCGCGUGCGGGAUGACGGCCUUCGGGUUGUAAACCGCUUUCGCCUGUGACGAAGCGUGAGUGACGGUAAUGGGUAAAGAAGCACCGGCUAACUACGU